rnacentral:rRNA from 1 species
AUUGAACUGAAGAGUUUGAUCCUGGCUCAGAUUGAACGCUGGCGGCAUGCCUUACACAUGCAAGUCGAACGGCAGCACGGGCUUCGGCCUGGUGGCGAGUGGCGAACGGGUGAGUAAUACAUCGGAACAUGUCCUGUAGUGGGGGAUAGCCCGGCGAAAGCCGGAUUAAUACCGCAUACGAUCUGAGGAUGAAAGCGGGGGACCUUCGGGCCUCGCGCUAUAGGGUUGGCCGAUGGCUGAUUAGCUAGUUGGUGGGGUAAAGGCCUACCAAGGCGACGAUCAGUAGCUGGUCUGAGAGGACGACCAGCCACACUGGGACUGAGACACGGCCCAGACUCCUACGGGAGGCAGCAGUGGGGAAUUUUGGACAAUGGGCGCAAGCCUGAUCCAGCA